GUAGUGUUUUUUUUGGGUUAAAAGACACAUUAUUUCUUCGCAGUCAAAAUAGACCAAAGAAAAAAAAACUUGUUUCCACGCAAAUUGGAGGUCGCAUAAACUGUCUAUUUGUUGAGGCCACCCCAAUGAAACAAGUCUAGAGGCCUUGUCCAUGCAUCCUCGUCACCGAAAAAAAAAGAGAAUCAUUAGCCUGCUACGUACUGCGUACGUGUUAGCUUGCAAAGUCUUGUUCUGUUGCACCUUUUUGUUUAUCUCUCUCGAUCGGUCUCAGCAUCGCCAAGCUGUUCCUUCAAUUAUAUUGUUCGAACAAACCCACGUUCCAUUACCCCGUAAUCUCACCUUAAAAGAAGCUAAGCG
rnacentral:lncRNA from 7 species